rnacentral:rRNA from 1 species
AAAGCAGAUAGUGAAAUCGAGUGGCUCAACCAUCUUCGGCUAUUAUCUGAACUCACAUGCUCGAGAGUAGUAGAGGUACCUGGAAUUUCUAGUGUAGGGGUGAAAUCCGUAGAUAUUAGAAGGAACACCAAUGGCGUAGGCAGGGUACUAGGCUAUUUCUGACGCUGAGGCACGAAAGCGUGGGAGCGAACCGGAUUAGAUACCCGGGUAGUCCACGCCGUAAACGAUGGAUGGCUA